CUCAGUUCGGAUUGGAGUCUGCAACCCGACUCCAUGAAGCUGGAUUCGCUAGUAAUCGCGCAUCAGCCACGGCGCGGUGAAUACGUUCCCGGGCCUUGUACACACCGCCCGUCAAGCCAUGAAAGCCGGGGGUACCUGAAGUGCGUAACCGCGAGGGGCGCCCUAGGGUAAAACUGGUGAUUGGGGCUAAGUCGUAACAAGGUAAC
rnacentral:rRNA from 1 species